rnacentral:rRNA from 1 species
GGGGAAUAUUGGACAAUGGGCGCAAGCCUGAUCCAGCCAUGCCGCGUGAGUGAUGAAGGCCCUAGGGUUGUAAAGCUCUUUCGACGGGGAAGAUAAUGACUGUACCCGUAGAAGAAGCCCCGGCUAACUUCGUGCCAGCAGCCGCGGUAAUACGAAGGGGGCUAGCGUUGUUCGGAAUCACUGGGCGUAAAGCGUAUGUAGGCGGAUUGUUAAGUCAGGGGUGAAAUCCCGAGGCUCAACCUCGGAACUGCCUUUGAUACUGGCUAUCUUGAGUCCGGGAGAGGUGAGUGGAACUCCUAGUGUAGAGGUGAAAUUCGUAGAUAUUAGGAAGAACACCAGUGGCGAAGGCGGCUCACUGGCCCGGAACUGACGCUGAAAUACGAAAGCGUGGGGAGCAAAC